rnacentral:ribozyme from 1 species
GCCACAUCCAUGUAAUUGGUCUUGAACCCCGAGGGAUGAAACGCAGCAAACCCGUUGGCGACGGUGAACCAAAUAGUGGUC